rnacentral:tRNA from 1 species
AGCGUAGCUCAGUGGUAGAGCAACACUUUUGUAAAGUGAAGGUCGUGGGUUCGACUCCCUCCGCU